rnacentral:rRNA from 1 species
GACGAACGCUGGCGGCGUGCUUAACACAUGCAAGUCGAACGGAAAGGCCCUGCUUUUGUGGGGUGCUCGAGUGGCGAACGGGUGAGUAACACGUGAGUAACCUGCCCUUGACUUUGGGAUAACUUCAGGAAACUGGGGCUAAUACCGGAUAGGAGCUCCUGCUGCAUGGUGGGGGUUGGAAAGUUUCGGCGAUUGGGGAUGGACUCGCAGCUUAUCAGCUUGUUGGUGGGGUAGUGGCUUACCAAGGCUUUGACGGGUAGCCGGCCUGAGAGGGUGACCGGCCACAUUGGGACUGAGAUACGGCCCAGACUCCUACGGGAGGCAGCAGUGGGGAAUAUUGCACAAUGGGCGGAAGCCUGAUGCAGCAACGCCGCGUGCGGGAUGACGGCCUUCGGGUUGUAAACCGCUUUCGCCUGUGACGAAGCGUGAGUGACGGUAAUGGGUAAAGAAGCACCGGCUAACUACGUG